rnacentral:misc_RNA from 1 species
UUUCCGUAGGUGAACCCGCGGAAGGAUCAUUCAUAAUAAGUGUUUUAUGGCACUUUUUUAAAUCCACAUCCACCUUGUGUGCAAUGUCAGGGUUGAUUUUUCUCUCGAGAGGAUCAACCCCAAACAUCAACUAUAUCUCAACUCUCUGUCUGAAAAAUAUUAUGAAUAAAACAAUUCAAAAUACAACUUUCAACAACGGAUCUCUUGGCUCUC